AGAGUUUGAUCCUGGCUCAGGACGAACGCUGGCGGCGCGCUUAACACAUGCAAGUCGAACGGUGAACCGGGCUUCGGCCCGGGGAUCAGUGGCGAACGGGUGCGUAACACGUGGGCAACCUGCCCCUCACUCUGGGAUAACCCCGGGAAACCGGAGCUAAUACCGGAUACUCCGCGCGAGCCGCAUGGCUCGAACGGGAAAGGUCCGCCGGUGAGGGAUGGGCCUGCGGCCUAUCAGCUUGUUGGUGAGGUAACGGCCCACCAAGGCUUCGACGGGUAGCUGGUCUGAGAGGACGACCAGCCACACUGGGACUGAGAUACGGCCCAGACUCCUACGGGAGGCAGCAGUGGGGAAUCUUGCGCAAUGGGCGAAAGCCUGACGCAGCGACGCCGCGUGGGGGAUGACGGCCCUCGGGUUGUAAACCCCUUUCGGCAGGGACGAAGCGAUCGUGACGGUACCUGCAGAAGAAGCCUCGGCUAACUACGUGCCAGCAGCCGCGGUA
rnacentral:rRNA from 1 species